UGAGUUUAAUAAAAUUGGAGAAUAAAAAAUGAAAUUAAACUAAUUAAUAAUAUAAUAACUAGUAUAAAAAAAUAUUAAAAAAUAUUAGAGGGACCGUUACCUCUGCUAGUUCUCCUACUAGCUCCGUCUCUGGAUGUGAUGGUUUUAUUAGAGGUAGUGACUGGUUAGGUGGUUUUGUGAAAGGCAUUAGAGGGGUGCUGGAAGGUUUAUGUUAUGCUAGGCGGUUGAGUUUUAACAAGGUAGAACUUAUGUUGAUUCUAAGGUUGUUAUUAAUAUUUGUGAUAUUAAAUGGUCAUUGUACAAUCAUUCUAAUAUGCAUUUUGAACUCCAUAUCCCUAAGGUACAAAUCAAACUCUUAUUAAUAAGUCGAUAUACCUUAUGAACUAUGA
rnacentral:lncRNA from 1 species